rnacentral:lncRNA from 1 species
UCUGAGCAUGGCCACUGCCCAGGCUGCUGCCGGGGCUGCUCCUGCCUGGGCCAGGCAGGUUCCAGGAAGCGGAGCCUGGGGAGCUGGGAACAGAGGCUGUGGUGCCAAAGGCAGAGGUGGAAGGAGUGGGAGCAGCUUCAGAGGUGCAGAGACGGGGAGAGGCCACCGAGGAUCGCCACCUUCCAGGGCUGGACCACGGGCCGGGCCACACGUUGACCUGUCUCCAAGCAGCUCCUGUCUUGCUGCCCCUGCGCCCUGGGGUGUGGUUCAGGAAAGGCCACCUGCGCCUCUCAGCAUAGGCAGGGCCAGCCAGGCCUGCAGUGGUGGCAGCUCCAUCCCAGUCAGAGGCCUGGGAAAUGGAUUUGCAGCACUCUCGGAAAAAGCCAACACGUUGCCGGAGACGAGCAGAGGCGGCUUGGUUCCAUCCCCAGACGCUUUCUGGUGGCUUUCUGGAGACAGAGGGCGGCAGGAUGAGCUGUCUGCGGCUGUUCCCCGGACAACAUCUGCAGUGAGCCUUGCAGCCUUGACAAGCAGCCACCCCAUCGUGGGCCGGGUGAUGAGAGGGGAAGCCCAGAGGGACCUGACAGAGCCCUCGGGUCAGGGAGGCCACCAGGGGAAGCCAGUGCCUGAGAUGAGCCUCAGGAGUGGCCAUGUAGAACCUUCUAGGUGGAGGGACACCCUGCCCGGCCUCUGGCCGAGAGGCUCCCUGCAGGAAACCAGUGGGAGCCCAGUGUGGCUGGGACUCUCAGGGUGAAGGCAGGAGAUGGGGAGGCUGGAGAGAGGGACAGGAGCACUCGGGGUCCUGGCGUCUUUCCCUGCUACCACCCUUCAGGGACCGUUAGUCCAGGUGUGGGGAGGCACCUUUGGGUGGGGUAUGGCCCCUGCUGCUCACCCACAAUGCCCACCCUAGGCCUGGAGCUGGCAAAGGGACACUGACCAGAGGCCACUGUUCUGCUUGCUGUGGGCUUGGCUGAGGCUGCCUGGCAGCAGUGGACACAUUCCCAGCCAUGGCCCCUGUGAGUGGUACCACCUACCUGAAGAGAGCCUGGGCCAGUCCCCUGCCCAGGCAGACCAUCUCCCCUGUCAGCAGGGCUCAGGAGGCCACCGCACCCAGGUGCAUCUCAGUGUUCAUUCAUCCACUCAUUCAUUCCUCGGGAGGAACAUCAACACCUGGGCCUGGGCAAGGCAAUGGGGAGCGAGCCCCACAGCGUUACGGCGGGGGCAGGUUGGGGGGCAGGACUCACAGCA